rnacentral:pre_miRNA from 10 species
GGUACUUAAGGGGGAGGUGGGCUUUGAAUAAUAAGUUUAUUGACGUGGAAUAUACAAGGGCAAGCUCUCUGUGAGUAUC